CAGGUGUUCUCAUAUUCUGUUGAUCUACCUGGAAUAUUUUCAUUUUCACCUGAAUAUCUUUCACACAUUGUGUCAUCAGAGAAGCUUCCUCAGCCAGGGCUCUCCUCUGCCAAAGGAACCUGAAGACGUAUCAGCUUCUAAUGACGGAAACUACACAUCAGUACACUAGGCAAGAACACAUGUAGCCUUCAGCUGGGGACUCCUACUGCAAUUAAAACAUAACAUAAUAGCUAUUGGGCAUUUCUGAGAAAGGAAUGAAAAGUUCAGAAAGUAGUAUGGGGAAGUGGGCCUUGCAUAAGACUGGCUCUUACAUGAGAGCUUAAUACCUUUAAUAUAAAAAUAGAUAAAAGGACAGUAAUGAAAAUGUAAGCUUGUCUUUCAGUGGCAUUGUAUUUCAAUAUCUCUAAUCUAACAUACAUAGCCUCACUUAUUCUGGGGAUUCACUCUAUAUUUUUUACUUUUGAGUUGUUUUCAAUUCAAUACACUGAAAAAUUAAACAGUUGUGAACUUA